GAUGAACGCUAGCUACAGGCUUAACACAUGCAAGUCGAGGGGCAGCAUGGAAGAAGCUUGCUUCUUCUGAUGGCGACCGGCGCACGGGUGCGUAACGCGCAUCAAACCUGCCUCAUACUCGGGGAUAGCCUUGCGAAAGUAAGAUUAAUACCCGAUGUUGUUAUGUUACCGCAUGGUGAUAUAACCAAAGAUUUAUCGGUAUGAGAUGGUGAUGCGUCCGAUUAGGUAGUAGGCGGGGUAACGGCCCACCUAGCCUUCGAUCGGUAGGGGUUCUGAGAGGAAGGUCCCCCACACUGGAACUGAGACACGGUCCAGACUCCUACGGGAGGCAGCAGUGAGGAAUAUUGGUCAAUGGACGAAAGUCUGAACCAGCCAAGUAGCGUGCAGGAUGACGGCCCUCUGGGUUGUAAACUGCUUUUAGUUGGGAAUAAAAAAGAGGACGUGUCCUCUAUUGUAUGUACCUUCAGAAAAAGGACCGGCUAAUUCCGUGCCAGCAGCCGCGGUAAUACGGAAGGUCCAGGCGUUAUCCGGAUUUAUUGGGUUUAAAGGGAGCGUAGGCGGAUUAUUAAGUCAGUGGUGAAAGACGGUGGCUCAACCAUCGUUAGCCAUUGAAACUGGUAGUCUUGAGUGCAGACAGGGAUGCUGGAACUCGUGGUGUAGCGGUGAAAUGCUUAGAUAUCACGAUGAACUCCGAUCGCGAAGGCAGGUGUCCGGGCUGCAACUGACGCUGAGGCUCGAAAGUGUGGGUAUCAAACAGG
rnacentral:rRNA from 1 species